AACAACAACGAGAAGAGCAUAAAGGAAAUUUAUUAAUUUGAUUCCACGUGCAAUUGAAGCGCCAUAAUUAAACAUAUAGCGGAUUAGUAGUCGGGCAAGAGAAAGAACAUAAUAUCUUCAACUAAAAUCAAUUACAACAUUUGAAUGGAAGCAACAUUGAUGCUCAAUUACAAUAACAAAAUCGCACGCCCACAAAAAAGCUGCAACAACAACAAACACAAUAACAACAACAACUGUUAUAAUAAUAACAACAACUAUAUUAAGCAACAAACGCGAAAUUGGCAGUGCCAUCAAUAUUUCAGGUAAGAAUAAUACCAAGAAAGUGGUAGAAAGGGAUGUGGAAAG